UUACGGCUACGGAUGCUAGCUCCCUGUUUAUGACUUGGCUAGUUCGUUAGCGUUUAGAUUGUUUUCACCCGAUCUGUUUUAGCUGCGGUUCUGCUAGAAACUGGUAAAUGCGAUUAACGAGAGGCCGGGGAGAAGAGACACACAUUUGCGCGGCUAAUGUUAUUCUAAACUUUAAAUAAAGAAAAGUUUGGGGUAUCAAGGAGUAUCCACCCCGUCCUGUUAAAAGCGAUCUCGAACCCACAAAGAUAAAAUUCUUAGGGCAAAAAUACAUACAUAGAAGGAGCCUGUAGAUUGGAAGGAGCUGAUACGCUGUUGAUUGCGGAUGAUUUGAGGUAACAUAACAGCAAACCUACUCUGCUAAGGCUGUAAUAAGCCAGUUGCUGCCUUGAAUCUACCCUCCACUCACAUUUCUGGAGUUCGACUUUGCAAAACGUCAACAGAUUUGUGUUGAACCCUCAUGGAAUAAACUCCUGGGUUUCCUUACUUCGGAAAAGAAAGCAAACUUCCCCAGUUGUUGCUCAACAGGGUGAUGGCUAAGCAGUGGAAUUUAAAAAAGAAUGAGAAGAAAAAAGGAACUGCCCCCACAUUUGGUCGGUAUAUUCCCAGCAUGACUGAAGGCCCCUGUCAUGAGGAGGUCCUGUUUCCAGCUUCAAGAGGCACUUCAGCUGCCCUGUGAUGUCGAGUGGAGAAAAUAUUGGCCUGGAGCGAUGAGAAAAACAGAAGGUAUUGGACUCUGCCACUCUGGCUUUC